CCCAAAUGCAGCCCGGUGAGGGGACAGCGGGUGUAAGCAGGGUUUCCAGGCCCCUAUACUUCAAAAAGGUAUCUGAUGGCAGAAGUGCGUUUCGGUCAUAACAAGAUGCCACAGAUAAAAGCUGAAAUAGAAAUAUUCAGCUUUGAAAGCUGAAUUACUCUAGCUGAAAGGGUAAUUAGGGAGAGCAGUUUCUGAGCAAGGAUGACGGAACCAUUAUCGCUUGGAGUCCUUAUACCCAGAUGAGACCCCUUGCAGCAGAGCCACAUAGAGAUACCAGCUCAUCUGAGGAGCAUCUCUGCUGAGCACCUGGACAACAACUUGCUCAGCACCUUCUGGACAUGGCAGAGGAGGGCUGUUUUGGAGAGGAGCUGAUUUGAGCUCAUGGAUUCAGGGAGGUUUUUCAUCUGCCUCGUUGCACCAGCAGCUCAGCGCAGGAGGCACCCUCUCUGUAAACACUGGUCUUCCCAAAAGCUGGUAUGGAUUUAGUAAGGCUCAGAAGUAAGGCUCUGUAAGGCCUACUGAGCCUCAGAUGCAUUUUGCACAUAAAAUAUUACACCAUUGAACGGGGAAGAUUAAUGCUACAACUGAGAUGAUAUGCUAAAUUAUUGGUCAGUCAACAUCACUUUAUUCACCUCAAACUGGGGGCAGACAUCACAGUGUUGGGAAAUUCAGAACCCCAGGAAAACUACGUGGCAGGAUGGUGCAUGGGAUAGGUGAAACAUUUUCUUUGUGGGAAAGACGGGCUGAACUGCUGGUACAAUAGCUGAGUCUACUCAAUCUUGUCAUCUGUAUGCUGAUAUGAUUAAUUUUCUGCUCCCUAACAGCAGAAAAUCAGGUCCAUAAGUUUCAAUUUGGAUAGUACAAUUAACAAAACCAGUAACUCCAUUACCAGGUUGUUCUGGAAACUGGAUGCUGGGCUGCAUUAACGGCACAAAGAUUCCUUCAUGCAGAAAUCAACACGUACCAACAUGAACGGAUGGCUUUCUGGGCUCAAACCCAGACUUUGAAUGGGGUGCUCCGGGCUGCACGGUGCGCUGCUAUCUGUGCCGCGGCACAGGUUCGUUAUCCAGGAACACCCGGCUACAGCCAUCCCAAAGCCAUGAUUUCAACAGCAGCUUAACCGGGGUGCUCAGAGCUGCUGCCCCUGCCUGGCAUUGCCCCUCUUGGCUGCUGCUUCAGCCCAAACCCUUUGUGGCCAGCUCUGAUUUCUGGAGAAAGGAAAGGGAUGGUUCGAUCAGGAGGUGCUUCUGGGCUACGUGUUGUUAUCAUAGUGCUGUUCCUUCUUCCGGUCCUUUCCUUACAGUUUUGUUCAGCCCUCUCCUAUAACGCAGACUGUCCCCCUCCCACAAAUGCAAGAGCCCUGCAAACCUGCCAGCUGUGGGGAAGGAGGACCAGAGAUCACAACAGCUUAUUCUUGAGAAAGAAAAUAUAACUGUUACCCUCUAAACUCAUGCCAGCCUGGUAGAUCCAGAGAAAGACGUGGGCAUCCAGGUUAAACUCCAUCUUUCAAGAAUUCAUCCAUCAACGUUCUGGUUUAGAAGCCCAUGAAUUACGGUGCUGAACAAAAAGAUUGUCCCUUUCAGAGAAGAAGCAAUUGCCAAGAUGUCCAUGUAGAAAAUGAGAAUAACGAUUUUAAUUUAGGCAUGCUUUUUUGCUUUAACGUUCUCUCCGCUUCUUUAACUAGAAAAUGGCUACAUUACCUGGAAAAAUAUUUUUGUAUUGUGAUGCUUGAGGGGAAAAGAGCUAAUUAAAUUUGUAAAAG